GACAGAGGAUGCAAGCGUUAUCCGGAAUGAUUGGGCGUAAAGAGCUCGUAGGCGGUUUGUCGCGUCUGCUGUGAAAACUCGGGGCUUAACCCCGGGCCUGCAGUGGGUACGGGCAGACUAGAGUGCGGUAGGGGAGACUGGAAUUCCUGGUGUAGCGGUGAAAUGCGUAGAUAUGCGGAGGAACACCGAUGGCGAAGGCAAUCCCCUGGGCCUGCACUGACGCUCAUGCACGAAAGCGUGGGGAGCGAACAGG
rnacentral:rRNA from 1 species